rnacentral:rRNA from 1 species
GCAAGUCGGACGAGAUUCAAGACUUCGGUUUUGAUGAAAGUGGCGCACGGGUGCGUAACGCGUAUGCAACCUACCCUUUACUGGAGGAUAGCCCGGAGAAAUUCGGAUUAAUACUCCAUAGUAUUACAGAUUGCAUCAUGAAGUAAUUAAAGAUUUAUUGGUAAAGGAUGGGCAUGCGUGACAUUAGUUAGUUGGUAAGGUAACGGCUUACCAAGACUAUGAUGUCUAGGGGUUCUGAGAGGAUGAUC